AUUUUGACUUGUUUUAAGGACAUUACAUCAAAGUUGGAUCAGCCUCUAGUGUGUUUUUCCACUUUCAUUUUGAGUGUGACUCCAAUUCCAGACCUCCAUGGGUUGAUAAAUUGGAUUUCCAUUGAUUAUUUUUGUGUGAUUUUUGUUGUCAGCACAUUCAACUAUGUAAAGAAAAACGUUUUUAAUAAGAUUAUUUCUUUCAUUCAGAUCUAGGAUGUGUUGUUUAAGUGUUUAUUUUUUUGAGCAGUAUAUUUUAGGGUUUCCAGGUGUGAUUGGCUGCAUAGUUGGCACUCAUAUUCCUGUCACAGCUCCUUCAGUAAAUGGAGAUUGUGAAUAGGAAGUCUUUCCACAGCAUUAAUGUGCAGGUAGGCCUAAAUAGUAGCCUUUAACAUUCCAAAUGAAAGAUACUUCACAAUACAGCUACUGCAGCUAAUUACUGUUCUGCACUGAAGAUCUGUGUUAUGUGAUGCAGCCCACAUCAGCAACGUGGAAGCAAAGUGGCCUGGGUCUGCAUGACUUGCAAGUUUUUUGUGAGUGUACUGAGCGCUAGAUUUGCCCGUGGUGAGUUUAAAUAGCUAUAUCCUAUUAUAAUCAAUAUUUUGUUUCCUGCUAGUGCAACUGAAACUUUAAACUGUAUUAUCAUAGUUUGAUGGUUACCUGCUCAGUGACAGGGUACCCCUGCCGAGACGAGCAUUCAAUGCCAUACAGCUCUCCUUCCGUGCCCUACAACUGCUCUUAAAUGCAGCUCUUCAACCGAUUGCUACCCGCACAACUAGCAUCACUACGCUGGAAGGUUCUGACCUAGAAUAUGUGGACAACUACAAAUACCUAGGUGACUGGUUAGACUGUAAACUCUCCUUCCAGACUCACAUUAAGCAUCUCCAAUCCAAAAUUAAAUCUAGAAUCGGCUUCCUACUUCACAACAAAGCAUCCUUCACUCAUGCUGCCAAACAUACCCUCGUAAAACUGACUAUGCUACCGAUCCUUGACUUCGGCGAUGUCAUUUACAAAAUAGCCUCCAACACUCUACUCAGCAAACUGGAUGUAGUCUAUUACAGUGCCAUCCGUUUUGUCAACAAAGCCCCAUAUACUACCCACCACUGCGACCUGUAUGCUCUCGUUGGCUGGCACUCGCUACAUAUUCGUCGGCAACCCACUGGCUCCAGGUCAUCUAUGUCUUUGCUAGGUAAAGCCCCACCUUAUCUCAGCUCACUGGUCACCAUAGCAACACCCACCCAUAGCACGCGCUCCAGCAGGUAUAUCUCACUGGUCACCCCCAAAGUCAAUUCUUCCUUCGGCCGCCUUUCCUUCCAGUUCUCUACUGCCAAUGACUGGAACGAACUGCAAAAAUCACUGAAGCUGGAGACUCAUAUCUCCCUCACUAGCUUUUAAGCACCAGCUGUCAGAGCAGCUCAUAGAUCACUGCACCUGUACGUAGCCCAUCUGUAAAUAGCACAUCCAACUACCUCAUCCCCAUAUUGUUUAAUUAUUUUUCUUGCUCCUUUGCACCCCAGUAUCUCUACUUGCACAUUCAUCUUCUGCACAUCUACCAAUCCAGUGUUUAAUUGCUAUAUUGUAAUGACUUUGCCACCGUGGCCUAUUUAUUGCCUUACCUCCCUUGUCCUCCCUCAUUUGCACAGGCCAGGUCGCAAUUGUAAAUGAGAACUUGUUCUCAACUUGCCUACCUGGUUAAAUAAAGCUGAAAUAAAAUAAAGUUUUUUUAUGUUUUAUUUCACCUUUAUUUAACCAGGUAGGCCUUUUUUUGCCUUUACCUCCCUUAUCUCACCUCAUUUGCUCACAUUGUAUAUAGACUUAUUUUCUACUGUAUUAUUGACUAUGUUUGUUUACUCCAUGUGUAACUCUGUGUUGUGUGUUGAACUGCUUUGCUUUAUCUUGGCC
rnacentral:lncRNA from 1 species